UUUUUAUUAGUAAGAUUUUAAUCAAUCCAGAAUAAUCAAUGUGAAUCUAGCCAUUUUUGUUGCUAGUUGUUUUUCCUUUAUAAUCCUAUAGGAAAUGGAUAGAAAGGAAUAUGGUUACGUGCAGGAAUGUACAGGGCUAAUGAAUAACAUAUGGUUAGACAUACAUUAAGGACCUCCCCUCCCUAGGGACUUAGGUAAAGUGUAAUCUAAAGGAAAAGUUUUACCAUGUGGAACCGCCCUGUAUAGGGUAUAUAAUGAGAUGCAACCUAGCAUUCGACAGAACUUCUUGCAACAAGCUCUCGACUUUGUUUUGCUUAAAAUAAAGUCUUUUCUUCUGAGAGAAAAAUCCCUGACUGAGUUUGAUCCUUGGGAGAACCGGCAAAAUACACCACAGAUUUGGCACCCCAGAUGGGACUGGAAAGGAGCAGAGUGGACGACUGCUUUUGAGCUGACUGAUGAGCAACACACACACACAGUGGUGGCCACCAUAGAAUAAGGUAAGCAUUUUUGCUUAUAUAAUUAGUGUGUGUUGUUGACUGGUCAGCUCUGAGUGGUAAGGACACUUAAAAUCUGCUCUUCCAUAUUUAGAAAAAUAAUAGGAUAUCUAAAUUGAAAAAGGGGUUUUACUCCAGAAGAAAUAACUGCAUGCACAUAUUUGGGUUAUUAAUAGGAAGGCCUUGGAAGGCAAUCUCGAUUUAAGACAAAUAUGGUGUAGGCAGAAAGACAUGGCAUGCUGUGGUCUGUGUUUAUUGGAUAGCUGUGGCAGGUAGGACAGUGAUAAACGGAUAAGCAGAUUAGUUAAGGAAUCGCGAGGAAAAGUCCCAUGGAUACCGCUUUGAGAAUGUAUAAGUGAAAUUCUCGAAGGACAGAAAUAGGUGGGCCCUUAAGGAGCUCUAGGUGAGCUGUGUUUUGUUGUGUGGAUGUCUCUGUGUCCGGACGAAUGAAUGUGUAAACAAAUAAAUUCCGUGUUGGGUGGGUAAAAGUUGCGCACCAUUCUUGGACCGUCACUUCAGGGUGGCUGGGUGGAGUUGGACGCAGCUAGUAUCCACUUGAGGGGGAUGAAUGUAUUAUGAGCCUUGAUAAUAAAAGGACAAUUAAUGUGUGAUUAUCCCUUAGAUAAAGGGAAAAAGUAUGCAAGAAUAAGCACUCUGGCUCAAUAAAGAGUGUAGCAAGUGUGAAUGGGUUUAGGAAAAUAGCAUCAAUAAAGUUUGAACCAAGAUCUAUAAUAGAUUUUUGCAUUUAGGAUGUCUGGGUGAAAUGGGAGAACAUUUUCUGAGCCCAGUGUAGUGGGAGUGAGAACAAAGGAGGACGUUUCCACAGUAAAGUUGUAUUACAUGGGGGGAGCAAGAGGUGCUCUCCCCUCCUGGACCAUCACUUGGGAGUGAUCAGGUUACAGAGACUGGUGUUGAGAAAGGAUAAGUGCAGAAGCCCUAAAACAAUAAAGUUAACUGAAGGAAGGUUGUUUUAGAGAAAAAUAAAUACAAAUGUUCCAAGAAAUGGACUAAUAUAGAAAUGGCAGAUAUGGUGGAAUAUAGAAAUAAUAAUAUUUUAAUUAAAAUAAGAUAUGCAUUUAUUAUUUAAUAACUUGUCUGAAUAGAUUAAUUUAAAAGAUGCACGUGCUUAAAACUUUUUUUAAUACGUGAAAACAUCUAGAAUUUGUAUCUUGUUAUCCCUGGGACACAGUAUGAAAGUUAAUCCAUUACAGAGUUUCAGAGAUUGGGCUUGUGUACAUGUAAAAAAUAAAAGAAAUAACUUGUGCAAUGUGGAAUGAAAGCAAGAUUGGGUGACCAAGUUAAUAGACAAUUGGAUUCAAAAGCCAUAGGCAUUUUACAAUAGGAAGGGAACUAGUUGCUUAAAGAAUUAAAUUUAAUUAUUUUAUUUACAAUAAUAGGAAUUAUUUUAUGUUGGUUAGGAAACAUUAAUUCACAAAUACCAGAUUAUUCUGAAUCAUGUAUGCAAAUAUAGAAGAAAAAUUAUGAUUGAAGUCUUUAUUUUACCAUACGCAUGUCAUGCUGUUAUAAAAGGAAGGUUUAUUUUAUUUUAUUGCAGUAUAUUUAGAUAAUAAAGGUAGCUGAUUUUUGCAUUUUGCAAAGAAGAAAAAAUGCUUGCUAUUUUCCUGCAAUGAAGAACUUGCUUUACUAACAUAGAAUAAGAGAACUGCUGUUUUCAACCAGAUGAUUUUGUUUUUAUUAAGGGACCACUGAAAGAAGAGGUUGAAAAGUGAAAAUUAGAAAAAGAGCUGACUGCUCAGAAACAAUUUGGUCAGAAGUUACAUAGGUACAUUUGAUUAAUGCAGUCUCUGAGUGUUACACUUUCAGAUGAUUUCUGGAACAGUGCCUUGACAAAGGAAAGCAAUGAAAUGGAGUCUGUCGAGGAAUGGCAAAGCAGCAAACACAGCUACAGAGAGAAGAAGAGGGAGGGGCUGAUGGAUGUUCCCCUCCCCUCUUGAAAGAGAAGAACACACUGCAGCAUGGAGAAAGAAAGAAUUAAAGCAGGAAAAGGUGAAUCUUUCACUUGAGACUUUUCCUGAGGGUGAAAAGAACAUUAUGAAAUGCAAAACUCUGGCAGAAAGCAACCAGAAGCCAGACUGAGAAGAAGCAGAGAAACAACGGAGACCGUACACCACAACAUCAGGUCUUUGAGUGCCAUCACAGACUGACGACCCAGUACAACAGCCCAGGCUGAUGAUGUCACCAGAAGGACUUCAAUCCCUUCAGUGCACAGGUCCUGCAUAUUCAAUGAACAAUAUAGAGACUGCUUCAAAUGUUAAUUAUUUUAUUUGAUUAUUUUAUUUACUAUGUUUUAAUCUUGAUUAUUCACUGGUCUCACAGCACUUCCUUAAAUUCUGUGUUUUAACUAACUUUCUCAAUCUGCUUUUCAAUAGGUACCAGUCCAGCCUCAUGUCUUAAAGAAAAAAUAAUAACUUUGACAGACAGAAGUGAGUACUUGACUCACCAAUCAGAUAAACAUGGAGCUGGAUUUGGCAUAGUAAGACUGUUUCAUUAAACAACUAGGGGGAAAUGCACAACUAAAUACUUGACAACAAUGCUGAGCGCUUUGGGAAGAAGAGAAUAAAUAAAUGAAUAAAAAAGGGUAUCCUGAUGAACAAUAGGAAAAAUAUAUAUGGUUGAAAAAAUAGAAAUAUUGGUCACUCCAUUUUGUUUUAAGGUAAUUUUCUAAGGUAAAACUGAAUAAAAUAAUAUUGAAUAAAAAAUUAUUCCAGAGAUCCAAAAUCAUGAAAUCACAUAUACUGUCAUCACUGGGGAUAACCAGAUGGAAAUGUUGAUGGCCAUGGAUCCAAGAUUUACAGAGAUCUCCAAUCCUCUUCUCAGAGUCGCUCAUGAGCAAUAACAAAAAAGUAUUUGACUAAACUUUAAAUUAGACAAACACAUGACAUUUGAGAAAUGAUAAUUGGCUCUCUCAAAUGCCCAAUGCCUAGGCCUAAUAUUCUAAACAAAUUCAUCUAUGAGAUUUUGGAAAAAGGAAGGAAAGAAAGAAAAGAAAAGUUUUUGGCAAAAAAAAAAAAAGAAAAAAAAGAAAAAAAAAGGGGGAGUGAAAGUGUGUGGAAAAGUAUGAAUGAUGGUGUUGUAUGGCAUGAAAGAGAGUGUCUGACGAGACACUGAGGCAAUUCAAUCAAUUUGCCCAAACAGCUGUAUACAAAUUUGAAUGUGGGCCCACAGGGCAAACUUAUGCCCAGUAAAAUAAUGACCAUGGAUGUAUUUGGUUAAGUUUCCUGGUCAGUACCUAGGUCUUUGUUGUGGCAGAAAUAAAAACAGUGCCACACAUGCGCAGCGUAUAACACGGGAAGGCAUAGCAAAGCAGGCUUGCUCUGUCCACCCCACAUCUAACUUCCUUUUCAGCAUAUCAUGAUGGAGCUGAUUGUGUCAAAAGGAUGAAACAUUAUCUUUCUGACUGUUAAAAUAAAUGCAGUGGGUUGAGUGUUUUCCAGGGCAAAAGGCCUAUGCUACUGAGCAACAUAGGCCUAGAUAAAUUAUCCAGUGAUAUAGUGGAACUCAGUUUACAAAAUAAAAAGAUAACUAAAUAAGCAAAUUGUUGAGAAUAAAAUUAAAAGGAAUUAAAAAAUAGUAAAGACAGCACUGAAAUUGUGAAAACUCAAAAAGGGGCCAAGACAGCCCUCAACCCACAUUACAUUUCCACAGGUCACACCAAGAAGGACGACUGGCAAGAUGAACAAAUAAGCAUGCUUGAUAACACUAACAAAAAAUUCUUAAGUUUUCCAUUUACAGGUGACAGCAGUUCCAGUAAGACCAAGGAAUGCUUCGCUCCAUCAAAGAGAACCAUGAGGGUGCAGAAAUGAUCUCAAGAGAGCCUUGCAUGAAUCAGAAAAACGGUUACAGAGUGACACCUGAGUUCACAUCUCUAACCUUAAAAUACCCCAACCAGCUUCAACAACUCCACACAGCAUGAAGUGAGGGAUGAAGGGCGUGCUAGUAACGACCCACCCUUGCCAACGAGGGAAAGACCAUUGCAAUGACUCGCAAAGAGUCUCCCUGGUGAAGAUGGAAUGAGAGAGUGAUGGGACUGCUACUGAGAUCAAAAUACUUGGGAGCAGAUAUGAGCCAACAAAUAGAAAAGAAAAGGUGGAAAGAGAAUUUUAAGUAAUGGUAGAUGAAGAAUUUGAAGGUUAUGAGAAGGGAAAUAUGGAUGUAGGAAGAUUUGAAGGGAAAAUAGAGCAAUUUGAUGCAACAAAUAGAAUGAAAGGAGCAAAAUAGAAAAGCUCAAGAUUUGUGAAUUGAAGAAGGAAAAGUAUGUGUUAUGUUUGGGGAAAAUGCUGUAUUUAUAGAAGGGAGCAUUUAAUGAAGAACUGAUCAAAUUGAAAAGGCUAAGAAUGAUAGAUAAAGAAAAUGUUGGAAAAGAUAAUAAAAUGUAAGACUGGUUUGAUUUACAGUUAGGAACAUGUGGAGCAUAGUUUACAACUAAAUAGGGAAAGUUUUCAGGAAUUGCAUUAAUGACAGGAUAUUUACUAUUUUACUGUAUACUUCCUAUAUUGAGGUCACUAGUCAAAGCCACAGUUAAGCAAAUUAAAUUCAAAGAUGUCAAGAUAAUGGGAAAUUGAUACAUAAGGUAUCUAAGCUGAAGAUAAACUCUUAUAAUCUUGUGAUAUUCAAUGUGUGAUGUGAUUUGUAUUUGUAUCUGUAUGUAUUUUUACGCCUUUUAUACAAAACUGUGAUAACCAGGCAAAUGCUGAACCAAUUGCACAUUCAUGCUUUUAACAAUGUCUACUAUUAAAGAGGAAUUAGGGAGACUGGAUCUUUUACUCACUCCAUGUCAAAUUAGGAGAGAGAUGUUUGGUCCAGUAAUCCCUCAGAGUGGAAUUUCAUAAUCUAGUCACUGGGGAUAAUACAAUGUGACUUAUUUAGUCAAUAGGUAGUGUAAAUAAUAUGACUGGAUUAUGGAGUAGCACUCUGGAUAAGAAUAAUCAAAUGUGAGACUUAUUAAGUCUCAAAGGGGAGAAUAUGUGGAAGAUUUUUAUUAGUAAGAUUUUAAUCAAUCCAGAAUAAUCAAUGUGAAUCUAGCCAUUUUUGUUGCUAGUUGUUUUUCCUUUAUAAUCCUAUAGGAAAUGGAUAGAAAGGAAUAUGGUUACGUGCAGGAAUGUACAGGGCUAAUGAAUAACAUAUGGUUAGACAUACAUUAAGGACCUCCCCUCCCUAGGGACUUAGGUAAAGUGUAAUCUAAAGGAAAAGUUUUACCAUGUGGAACCGCCCUGUAUAGGGUAUAUAAUGAGAUGCAACCUAGCAUUCGACAGAACUUCUUGCAACAAGCUCUCGACUUUGUUUUGCUUAAAAUAAAGUCUUUUCUUCUGAGAGAAAAA